rnacentral:misc_RNA from 1 species
CUGAACGCCUCUAAGUCAGAAUCCAUGCCAGAACGCGGUGAUACCACCCGCACGUAUAGAUGGACAAGAAUAGGCUUCGGCUUAGCGUCUUAGCGGGCGAUUCUUCCACGGCGCUCGAAGCGCGUCGUGGUAUUUCGCGUAUUGUAAUUUCAACACGAGCGGGGUCAAAUCCUUUGCAGACGACUUAGCUGUGCGAAACGGUCCUGUAAGCAGUAGAGUAGCCUUGUUGUUACGAUCUGCUGAGGGUAAGCCGUCCUUCGCCUCGAUUUCCCCAAUGGGUUCUCCGGAUUUCUGGAGACUUGUAGGGGUUGUGGGUUUUUUCGAUGUGUCGUCUCCGGACGGGCGGUGCAGGGUAGUCGAGUUAGACUUGGUGGAAUUCGAUUCCGUCGAGUAUGGCUGGCACGAUCGUGUGCGGUUGUGUGUUGGACGGUGCAGGGUAGGCUGCUUGGACAUGGUCGGUUCGAGGAUCGAUUCGAGGGCCGGCCUGUCGAUGAUGUGUGAUGUAUGCGGUCUAGGGUAGGCUGGUUUGUCUUGGUCCAAUUUGAUGUCGGCUCCCGUGCAGGCUAGAGUGAGGGGGGUCCAGGGUAGGUACAGGGUAGGCAGCUUAGAUUUGGUCGAUCUGGAGGUCGAUUCUCCGGCUGGUGGAUCUGACCCUGUCGAAACGAGAUGCGAGCGGUGUAGGGUAGGCUAGUUUCGUCCUCGCCAGGUUGCGAUUUGGACGAGAUAUGUGGUCUAGGGUAGGCUCUAGGGUAAGUAGAAUUCGAGUUUCGUCGCCGACAGUUUUCUGUGGGUGUAUGGUAGGUACAGGGUAGGCAAAACUCUCUCCGGCCAGUACUUGUCUGGUGGUCGUGAGUCGAUUUUUUUGUUUUGCCAUACUAUUGAAUUUUGCGGAAAUUCAAAAGUGGCUCGGGAGUCCCGCCUGGCGUGCGUCCGACUCGAACAUCGUCGGUGUACAUAUGAGAGGGAGUAAUCCGGCCCGGCCGGGGCCCAUCGCGAGCUGCCGGGUAGGUAAAAGUAAAAAAGUUGUUAAGAGGCGCGGUGUCGGCGUGCUUGUAUUUGCGGGAGAGAAUUAUCUGGAGGUGCUGGGUAGCCGGGAAGACUUGGACGGAUCUGGCCCGGGAAUGGGUCUGGGCCUGGAUUCUGGUGUGGUGUAGGAUAGGCGUAGAUAGAUGAGUGGUCUAGGGUAGAUACAGGGUAGCCAGAAGUCUGGUAUAUAGUGUGGGGGGUGUAGGGUAGGUCUGGACACCGUUUUCCACUUCGCCCUUCCCUUUACUCGAGGGAGGACGAUCUUGGCUGGGAUGGAGGUGUAGGGUAGGCUUAAUUUACGAUUACAUGAUCUGUGUCACUCUAGGGUAGGUGAAAAUCCCAUAUAUAUCUGAUCACAUUUGGAGAAGAGGUGGUUUGGCUGGUGAGAUGGACAAAAGUGCAAUGUAGAAUUAUAUGUGAUUUUGCAAAAGUGGGUGUGAAAUUGGGAAAUCGGUUUCCCCGCACAGAUGAGAGCACGUUUGAGGUGCCAUGAGAUGCACCUCUCCGAGACGACCUCAACGGUACCACCGAUGUGUUGGUCCGGCUCCUGUGCGGCCGUCCAGGGCGGGAUAUGUAGAGAAUGUGGUGGUGUAGGGUAGGUGGCCAGGUCCAGGGUAGGUUCUCCAAAUCCGUCAAUCCGGCUUGAAUCGAAGGACAGGUCUAGGGUAGGCCAGAGUCGGGUCUAGGGUAGGCAGCUCUCACCCUCGAAGUGGUCUACCCGGUAGUCAACUUCAAUCGCCUCUCACGGCCGCCACGGACCUCGCAUGACGACGGGACCACCACCAUCGGAUUUGCCUUGGUCGAAAUAGUCGGUAUAUGCACUUUUGCAAAAAUGCGUGCAAAAUGGUUUUGUGGUUUGGUGGUCGUGAGUCGAUUUUUUUGUUUUCCCAUACAAAUGAAUUUUGCGGAAAAUAAAAAGUGGCCCACGAAGCAGUUCUGGCGUGCGGCCCACUAAAACGGUCUCGGAGGGUAUAUGAGAAGGGAGCAAAUCCGGCCGAGCCUGAAAGGGUGAGGACAAACCGGGCGAGCAACCUCUCAGUAUCAGAUCUUGCAGACUUCCACUGCGUGUCCCUCUGUACAGCUUUGCAGGCUCCGGCCUCGGCAGCGGGGGGUUCAUAGUGGUCGUCGACCUCCACGAAACUGCACGCUCCGGCGUGACAGCGUACUGGGGAUGCCUGUGUAGAUGCAGUCCGGGCUUGCCUGGACCGCUAGCAGAUGGGCUCUGUGGAUGACUGGCCGCUGGCUAGACCUGAAACCUGAGCAACGGGAGGUAACCUCUCGCCGCGGACACCGGAAUGGUAGAAGCGGCGUGCUGCGUCCUCCUCUUGGGGCCCCUAAGCCACACCUCCCAUAGCGGGUUCGGUGCGGCGGACGGACGCCCUGGGGAAUUUAGAGGGGGAAAGCGGAUUGCCCUAGCGGUGUUGUUGGCCCUGCCGACCUCACUGCGAAAGGCGCGACUUCACCGUCGCCACCCAGUAACUUGUCUCUCCGGCGCUUCACGGCGCUGGUGGCCAACCCCGGCACACGAUAGUUACCUGGUUGAUUCUGCCAGUAGUCAUAUGCUUGUCUC